rnacentral:lncRNA from 1 species
AAUGAGUGUGCAGUCGGCCUCAGAGCUAUGAGCUGCACUUUCUACCUUGCCACUGUGUUUUCUGCAGUCCGUGAUCUGUGGAUGACAAAUGGUGUCUCUCUCUACCAGACCAUGAAGCAACGGGAUCUGAAAAGGCUUUGGAGAGAAGGUGGCGAUUGUGGACUUUGAGACACAUUAUUCUGCUGAGAGACGGAAGAAUAGAUUGGAAAAGGAAGAGAAAUACAGAUAAGUCACUUGGGAAUGGGUGU